rnacentral:rRNA from 1 species
CUAAGACAUGCGAGUCGAGCGUCUCUAGCUAUGUUGAGACGCGGCAGACGGCUCAGUAACACGUGGCUAACCUACCCUCAGGACAAGUACAAACCCGGGAAACUGGGGCUAAUACUCGAUAGGCGAAGGCGCCUGGAAUGGUUCUUCACCCGAAGGGCUUUAGAAACAUGCUUCUAGAGUCGCCUGGGGAUGGGGCCGCGUCCGAUCAGGUUGUUGGUGAGGUAACGGCUCACCAAGCCUAUAACCGGUACGGGCCGUGAGAGCGGUAGCCCGGAGAUGGGUACUGAGACAAGGACCCAGGCCCUACGGGGCGCAGCAGUCGCGAAAACUCCGCAAUGCACGAAAGUGUGACGGGGCUACCCCGAGUGCCGUCCGCUGAGGAUGGCUUUUCCUUGGUGUAACUAGCCGGGGGAAUAAGGAGAGGGCAAGACUGGUGUCAGCCGCCGCGGUAA